CUUACCAUUUAUCUUUCAAAUUUGAGUUCCAAAAUGAAGAUCGGUUGAGCAACUUCGCAAAAAUAUCUAUUUUUCUACUUUCGAACGGUGUUUUUCCUAUGCUUUUGACUGAAAACACGACGAAUGACACUUGCCAGAGCAAUUUGCGUGGCGCGUGGAAAUGACGUUGCACGGGGACACAAAGAACAAAGGAAUCGCCGCGAGUUCCGCCUCUGUAUACUCUGUGGCUUGACCUUCACUAUCAAAACAACAAGAGUGAGAAAUAUGGCGGAUUUUGUAUUAGCCGAUUCACCGCCAUAAAGCUUCAGUUUUGGAAGGACACGGUCUUCUUUUUGUUCAUUGUGUAUCGUGAGAGCCUAUGCUGUUGGUUCCUAUGGGUUAUCGUAUGUUCAGUUUCAAUGCCGUGAGAUUCACAUCAGAAGAAUCGCUAUGUUUGUCUCUAAAAGUUGAUGAAAUCUUCGCCGAUUGCAAAUAGCCCAGCAUUGAUAGAGUAUAGAGAUACAUUCCAGUUGUGUUUUUAGGGUAAGUCGUUUGUUUUAAUCCUUAAAGCCAAUACAAAGGCAAUGUAUCUACGCAAUGGUUUUUGCUUUUUCUAUGAUUCACAUUUUUAUAGCCAAUGUUGGUAACAAUAUUUGUGCUUUUUAUUUUGAAUAUAUGCAUAUAGAGCUAAAAUAUAGUUUAAGUUAGAGAAGCCAAGACUGUUCAUUUGGUUUGAUCAUAGAGGUUUGAUUACUUUGGUAUUUUAUACGGACUAUUAAAGUAAUUAACCCUACUUUAUUAUUUUACUCUGUCUAUAACGCCAGAUUAUUUUACUCUGUCUAAUGGCAUGUGCCUAGUUAACCCAUUGAGUCACAUUGUGCCCUCAUGUGCCCUACUUUAAUAUUUUACUCUGUCUAACGCUGGCACUUAAAGGGUUAAACAGAGGAUUGUUUUUUAUAUAUUGCAGUUCUCUGACCUCAGUGAUCUAAGACGAGAUGGAACAGGACAAUCUUUUAUCUUUGGGAAUGUUAUUUUGUGGGAUUUCGAUAUUCUGCCAUUGCCACCUUCUCAAACAAUUCAACCUCGAGGUCCAGAUACUGUUGAUGAAGAUUUGGACAGUGUGCUGUCACUAAUAAAUUUACAAGGGCAAACUGGAUAUAACUGUGAUCUACAACCAAUAAAUUCUGUGUGCUUGGUGGGUAUUACUCUACAGUGCAGCAUUGCUGAUUGGAAAAAGUGGACCAUGGGACAUAGGGACAGAGAUGAUCCAAGAAACAAUUAUAACAAUGACUAGUUACUAGAAUAUUGUAAAUUGAUGUUUGUGAUGUUAUUCUGAGUGUGCAUCCACACCGGGCAAGCUCAAACGUUUGCCUGACAUGGUGGGAAUCGAACCUGCAAUUUUUGGGAUAUUAGUCCAAUGCUCAACCAACUGAGCUCAACUCGGUGUGGAUGCAUACUCUGAGUAACAUCACAAACGUAUUCACCUGAGUAAAUAACACCAACACACACAAGAAGUAUAUUGUAAAUUGUUGUUAUUUUAUUAUGUAUCCCUACAUACCGUAAACCACCGACUAUAAGCCCUGGGCUUAUAUACUUUCGUAAGCGAUUUUUGACGGGCUUAUACAAGGGUGGGCUUAUAUACGGGGGGGGGGGUUAUACAUGGAUGACCUUUUGUGUUAGUGUAAUAGUGAUAAACAAGACUUAGUGUUAAACCAGCACAGCAAAAAUACUGAUUAAUAUUGAUAAAUAAUAGUGAUAAACAAGUGGGCUUAUAUUCGGGGGGGAGGGCUUAGAUUUGGAAUGAGGUGAGCGUUAGUAGAUGUGGUGGGCUUAUACACGGGGGGGGGGGCUUAUAGUUGGAGGUUUACGGUAUUUAUUUUAUUAUGGAUCCCUACAAUAAUAGUGACAUAGAUUACUAGGCUAAUGUAAAUUGUUGUUAUUUUAUUUUAUUAUGGACAAAAUUUCUCCAGAUCCAUGGAUCUUUUUUGGCGAUAGAUAUUAGAGCUGUGCGGUUAACCGAAAAAUUCGGUUCUUCCGGUACUUUUUUCAGCACCGAAAAACUAUACGCAAAAAACCGGUAGUUUCGGUUUUAAUUUCCCGUUUAACGCCCACCUGAUUGCAGGUUGAAAUGUUUGGAAAAUAACAAGAUUGUGCUCUUUGUGCAUAAUAUGCACUGUACUAAGUGCUCAAAUAGUUGAUAUUUUAGUUGUGAUAGUCAUUUUUGUGAACUUGCUUUAAAUUUUUUUAAAAACUAAGAAAUAUUACAUCUUCAUAAAUAAAUUCCAAUUGUUCUUUUAAAAUAUUCAGAGAUUUAUACAAACUUACAAAGGCA
rnacentral:lncRNA from 1 species